AAAAAUACAUAAGAAGAUAUGAAAAGUAACCCGAACUCGCAUCCGGCGACCGUAAGAGAACGCCGACUCGCUUACACGAACGCCAACAAACCCUGGACGGAGGCAGUGCUCACCCAGUUGCCGUCGGGAAACAUUGCACUUGUCCGAAUGGCGAGCCCUGAGCCCCACCCGAGAGGCCAGACCCCGCGGCGGAAAGGUCUUCUAGUUGUGUGAAUUAACAUGACUUCCUUGUCCAAAGCUGAAUGUCUGGCUGAUAACUGGGCCUCGGCACAUCCUGGACCUGACAGAGGUUGGGUCAUGCCAGGUCCAACAGCCUUGUCCUUGCCUUCCUACCAGCAGGCGCUUCUCAAGACUCACUACUGAGACCUGACUAGUUCAUACUGGACAUCUCACAGCUGUCUGAUUGGACCACAGGCUCCCCUCUUUCCCAGUUCGCUGAAACAGCUUCCAACUACUUAACCGAUUUCUGACGGGUGGCAUGUACGCACAUACCAUGGCAUGGCGGGACUAUCUGCCGGGGGCAUGUAUGUACAUGCCAUGGUGUAUGUAUGGACAUGCCAUGAGUUAUUUUUUGUUACAAUCACGGCAA